rnacentral:lncRNA from 1 species
CUAAACUUUCCUAAAAUUAAAUUUUAACCCAAAAAUUUCCUAAAAUUUCACUUUGACCCCAGAAGUUUUGUUGCGUUUGCAAUCUGGUCCUUCCGGCAGUUGCCAGCGCAAGUUGCGGACCUGCAGUCCGGCGGCCAGCCUAGGCUCAUGAUGGCCUCCCUAGCUACCUGUAAAUAGUAAAAAACUUAGUAAUAAAAACACCAAGAAGCAACCAAAAAUAGGGGAAAUGAACAAAAAAAAAAGAAAGCCAAUCAAAUAACAAAAAAAACAAAGAAAAUAGAAAAAAAACUUCAAAAACUCAAUUUCCCCAUACCAUCGCCGUGGCCAUUGAAGGUGGAGGAGCAUCUGUACGGGGGAUAGAAGUUAAAGUAACCCACAAGUAUUUGUGAUAUUUACAAUGCUUCAU